AAACUGAAAUGGAACAGGGGCAGAAAAUAGCACACUUUUACUCUACGCAACUGUUGCUUUUUCAUGAUCUUCAGGAAUUUUACUGGGAUAAUUAUCCAAAUAAAUUGCAAGCAUUCUAUCCAAAUGGAGCUCUUUCUGAGAUGAAGAGAAUUCUCAAUGUCAAGAUUUGAACAAGAAGAGAAUGGAAUACACAAUAUGGACAUCCAUAAAAAUUCAUCAGAGAGCAUUUUACUACUGAGCUGCAAAGAUGACAAGAGCACCUCAAAGGCAGCAGCCUCAAGGAGCAGCCAUGGCCCCAGACUUGUCGCACGGAUGCAGAAAACUUAAUGGAGGAGGCUGAGGUUGUGGAAAAUGCACUAGAAUCAACAAACAUGGGGACUAAUUCAACUCGGAUAUCAUGUCUUCAGAGAAGUUUCUCCUGCCCUCCUCUCCCUGUAGAAUUAAGUAUUCUUCCACUGUGCCACCCUCUAACUUGUGCUCAUAUCUUCCUCUAUUGUAGUUAUGUGUUCACAUCCCUGUUGUUUUUGUACCGGCUUCUCCCAAAGGGAGACAUUUAGUCUUAUUCUUCUUGGUAACUUUAGCACAGACCUGGCAGAUUGUUGACACUCAACAAAUGUUUAUUGACUCAAAUGCAUUCAGUUGAACAUUGACCUUUGAUCAACUCUGGGAAAAGUCUGCAAAGCUAGUUAGGACAUUCAGAAAUUCAUUUCAUUUCAAUCCUAACUAAAUAAAUUAUUGAAGUCUCAGAA
rnacentral:lncRNA from 1 species